rnacentral:rRNA from 1 species
AGUGAACGCUGGCGGUAGGCCUAACACAUGCAAGUCGAACGGCAGCACAGUAAGAGCUUGCUCUUACGGGUGGAGAGUGGCGGGCGGGUGCGGAAUAUAUCGGAAUCUACUUUUUCGUGGGGGAUAACGUAGGGAAACUUACUCUAAUCCCGCAUACGACCUACGGGUGAAAGCAGGAGAUCUUCAGACCUUGCGCGAUUGUAUGUGUCGAUGUCGGAUUAGCUAGUUGGCGGGGUAAAGGCCCACCAAGGCGACGAUCCGUAGCUGGUCUGAGAGGAUGAUCAGCCACACUGGAACUGAGACACGGUCCAGACUCCUACGGGAGGCAGCAGUGGGGAAUAUUGGACAAAGGGCGCAAGCCUGAUCCAGCCAUGCCGCGUGUGUGAAGAAGGCCUUCGGGUUGUAAAGCCCUUUUGUUGGGAAAGAAAAGCAGCAUGUUAAAACCCCGCUGUUCUGACGGUACCCAAAGAAUAAGCACCGGCUAACUUCGUG